rnacentral:rRNA from 1 species
GUGGGGAAUCUUGCGCAAUGGGCGAAAGCCUGACGCAGCCAUGCCGCGUGGAUGAUGAAGGUCUUAGGAUUGUAAAAUCCUUUCACCGGUGAAGAUAAUGACUGUAGCCGGAGAAGAAGCCCCGGCUAACUUCGUGCCAGCAGCCGCGGUAAUACGCAGGGGGCUAGCGUUGCUCGGAUUUACUGGGCGUAAAGGGCGCGUAGGCGGACAAUUAAGUCAGGGGUGAAAUCCCGGGGCUCAACCUCGGAACUGCCUUUGAUACUGGGUGUCUUGAGUAUGAGAGAGGUGUGUGGAACUCCAAGUGUAGAGGUGAAAUGCGUAGAUAUUCGGAAGAACACCAGUGGCGAAGGCGACACACUGGCUCAUUACUGACGCUGAGGCGCGAAAGCGUGGGGAGCAAACAGGAUUAGAUACCCCUGUAGUCC